GACGAACCGUGCUAACGUUAUUCGGAAUCACUGGGCUUAAAGCGCGUGUAGGCGGACUGCCACGUCGGGCGCUGAAAUCCCCCGGCUCAACCGGGGAAUGGGCACCGAUACGAGCAGUCUCGAGGGGAAUAGGGGGACCUGGAACUUCCGGUGGAGCGGUGAAAUGCGUUGAGAUCGGAAGGAACGCCCGUGGCGAAAGCGAGGUCCUGGGUUUCUACUGACGCUGAGACGCGAAAGCCAGGGGAGCAAACGGG
rnacentral:rRNA from 1 species